rnacentral:piRNA from 1 species
UAACAUAGUGUUCAGAUGUCUUCCUCAUC